ensembl:lncRNA
CUCCAUUACAAGAAGUGUGCUCUUCCAGAACUCUUUUUGAACUAGUAUAAAGGCAUCGUAGGUACCUGGAGGUUUCUUUGAAAUGUGGACUACUUAAAAUACAUAGAGUGAGAAGGACAUUUUCCACAGAAAUUUUGUGCCCUUCAGUCUGGUCAAGUGGGUAAAAUAUCAUGGAUCCUGGCCACAAGCACAAGAUACCGAAAGGCUGCUGUCAGGUCUUCCCAGAGCCUUCUCUUUUUCCAGGCUGAACAACCCCAGCUCUCUCAGUCUGUCCUUGUACGAGAAUUGUUCCAUCCCUUGGGUCAUUUUUGCAGUCUUCGUCUGGAAGCGUUCCAACAGAUCCACAUUUCUCCUGUACUGAGGACUCCACAGCUGACAUGGUAGUUCAGCUAGAGACAAGGAAAAUGGCAUACAUCCCAAGCAGUGAUGGGAGAAUCUCUGAAGAAACCUUUAUGAAGUCACGAUGCCAGAUCCCAAACUAGGACGUAAACAGAUGUGUGGAGAUGGCCUCACAUUUAAUGGAUGGUGCUGUUGCAGCGCAGAUCAGAUCAGCACAAUUCACUCCAACUCACUCUUGCAGGUUCCCAAAAUUACAAGCCCAGCACUGCCUGGUGCUUUGAGAAAAACUCAG